GGGGAUAUGGCUCAGUGGUAGAGUGCUUGCCUGGCAUACAAGAGGCCAUGGGUUUGAUACCCACUACUACCA
rnacentral:tRNA from 1 species